rnacentral:rRNA from 1 species
CCCUUAGAUGUUCUGGGCCGCACGCGCGCUACACUGACGAAUGCAACGAGCUUAUAACCUUGGCCGAAAGGUCUGGGUAAUCUCCAAAUUUCGUCGUGAUGGGGAUAGAUUAUUGCAAUUAUUAAUCUUCAACGAGGAAUGCCUAGUAAGCGCAAGUCAUCAGCUUGCGUUGAUUACGUCCCUGCCCUUUGUACACACCGCCCGUCGCUCCUACCGAUUGAAUGGUCCGGUGAAGCGCUCGGACCGCGGCCUCUUGACGGUUUUCCGUCGAUUGGCUGUGGGAAGUUCGUUAAACCUUAUCAUUUAGAGGAAGGAAAAGUCGUAACA